GAUGAACGGCUGGCGGCGCGCCUAACACAUGCAAGUCGAACGGGAACACCCGUAGCAAUAUGGGUGUUUUAGUGGCGACGGGUGAGUAACGCGUGAGGAACCUGCCUUUCGGAGGGGAAUAACACAUCGAAAGAUGUGCUAAUACCGCAUAAUGUCAUCGGGCGGCAUCGCCUGAUGACCAAAAGAGCAAUCUGCCGAAAGAUGGCCUCGCGUCCGAUUAGAUAGUUGGUGAGGUAACGGCCCACCAAGUCUGCGAUCGGUAGCCGGACUGAGAGGUUGAACGGCCACAUUGGGACUGAGACACGGCCCAGACUCCUACGGGAGGCAGCAGUGGGGGAUAUUAGUCAAUGGAGGAAACUCUGAACUAGCGACGCCGCGUGAGGGAAGAAGGUCUUCGGAUUGUAAACCUCUGUCUUCGGGGACGAUAAUGACGGUACCCGAGGAGGAAGCUCCGGCUAACUACGUG
rnacentral:rRNA from 1 species